rnacentral:rRNA from 1 species
UACAGAGGGGGCAAGCGUUAUUCGGAAUUAUUGGGCGUAAAGGGCGCGUAGGCGGCUUGGCAAGUGGAAGGUGAAAUCCCUCGGCUUAACCGAGGAACUGCCCUCCAAACUGCUUUGCUUGAGGUCGGGAGAGGUGAGUGGAAUUCCCAGUGUAGCGGUGAAAUGCGUAGAUAUUGGGAGGAACACCAGUGGCGAAGGCGGCUCACUGGACCGGUUCUGACGCUGAGGCGCGAAAGCGUGGGGAGCAAACGGG